UUCUCUUCUUCUUCUAUUCGUUCGUAGGCGUCAAUUGGUGUGUCGCACAAGAACAUUUGACGAAAUAUUCAAGCGAAUAUCCAAGUCUCAUUGGUUGACUGUUAUGGUUGGAAAUAAACUGUGGUAACGUUGUUUAUUCUUACGUUUGGAGUCGAGUGCUCGAUUGUUAGGCGAGCCGAACUAUACAAUUAAGGACCCGGAACAAAAACGCGAACGCGCGCAACCAUAAAGUACAACGAGGCUGGGAUACGAACAAACGGGCGGAUUAAAAAACGUGGAAACAGAGCGAGAAUGACGAGAAAAAUGAUAUUGAUAUCGUCUAGAAAUUCCGUAAAGUAACACGAUAGGAAAAUAGUGAUAUGCGAUAUCGCGUAGGAAGGGAAGGACUAGAAAAAAAAAUUUCUCCCUCGGCGUAUGAAACACGAAGGCUCAAACUUUGUACGAUAAGACGGAAACUCCGAACGUUCUAUUGCGCUUUAGCACGUCAUUUUCACUCGGAUCAUAGGGGAAAAGAAUGCUUGUGCUUCUCGUGUGAUGCAGUUUGAAACUCGAAUCAACAAUAAUACUUUGUAUUUGUAAAAAAUAGGCGAUAGAAGGGCGCGCGCGUGACGAUUGGUAGUGAAAAAAAAGGUUCAGCAGAAAGAAGGUUUACUCCGGGGUGCAAAUUCGAUCGCUCGUUGAAGUUUGAUCGCCAGUGCCGUGACACGCAAAACAAACGAUACAGCGAUUACGGAUUUCAUAUGUGGAGGAGGAUUGAAGAAAAUUUUUGUUCUUUUGCCAAAUCAAAUUUAUAAUUCAACGCGUCAACUGCCCAACUCGGAUUUGAUUUUUACUUUCAUUUCCAGUUUUUUUUUUUUUUUUAUUAGGCUUUGAUAAAUUUCGAAUUGGGGAGCAGACGAAUCUUCGUUUUGUCAUUUAGAACAAAAAGUUAAUCUCCGUUGCAAAGUCAUUGAAAAAUUUAAAAAGUUUCAAAUUCUGAAUAUUUCGGUCGUAAAAUGCGAGGACUGCGCUCAAGAAAAAUGUAUUCUGUGUGAGUUUUGAAUUUGCGAGGUGUAAAAGAUUAAAGUCUCGAGAAAUCGAUAAAAUAGUUGGAGUGUAUGUUGAAAAUCAAGAUCAUUUCCGCAGGCCAGCCACAUACAGCAUACGAAUAACUUCAACGUAACAGUAAAGACAUUUUUAAACACUUUUUUCACAAUUUUCGUGCUAACAAAAGUUGCACACGUGAUUAAAUUGAAAAAAAAAACGAAUCACAUCAAUUUGCACAUUGUUAACAUCCAAUUGUUGUCGUGUUGUUAUGCGUUUUUGUUUUCCAAAUUUAAUGUCCUUUUUUUCUGUACACUGCACGAAAAAUAUGCUCACUUUAAUCACCGCAAUCCAUACUUUAAUUAUGAAACUAUUGUCGAUGGUUUUUGCCUCGAAAAAUUAAUGAGAGACACGCUUCUAAAGGGAAGUUUUUUCGGAACAGUAGAUCUCCCAUUAAAGGAUCGAUUGAAUAUCUUUUUUGGAAUAAUAUCGACGAGGUACUAUCAAAAAUAUGUGGCUGGGAAUUCUAAUAGAAGCUCCACAAGGAGCACUCGACCAUUUGAGCAAAAAAUCACGAUUUUUUAUUUUGCAACCAUUUCGACUAUUAUGAUCAACGAAACAUUAUUUUUUGUGCAGAAUCUCGUGAAUAUGAAAGAUGUACAUGGAGAGAAAUUCUCACGAAAGAUGUUCACAUUCGCAUUACGGUGUGGAAGCACGUCGUAAUUUUUCAGCAAAAUUUCAUACGUUUUUAACAGAAAAACACGAAAUUUUUCUCAACAUGCUCGACGAAUCACACCGCAAUAGAAGGUAGACAUUUUUCGUGUUAAUCUUUCCGGAUACUGACAGUUGUUGCAUACUUUUCCAUGAGAAUAGUUAAAAGUAACAUAGUCGAAUUACAGGACUGAUAAACUCAGGAAAGAUUCUACUGUAUGUGGCAUAUUUUCUUCGUUGUAAGAGUGUAAGUGGUGAGCAAGUUCAGUAAGUAUUGGAAAUAAUUGUUGUAUCGGUGAAUGGCAAAAUAUAAAAAAUGAUUUAUAUAAAUAUGAGCUAUGAGAUAACAA